GACGAACGCUGGCGGCGUGCCUAAUACAUGCAAGUAGAACGCACAGUUUAUACCGUAGCUUGCUACACCAUAAACUGUGAGUUGCGAACGGGUGAGUAACGCGUAGGUAACCUGCCUGGUAGCGGGGGAUAACUAUUGGAAACGAUAGCUAAUACCGCAUAAUAUUGAUUAUUGCAUGAUAAUUGAUUGAAAGAUGCUAUUGCAUCACUACCAGAUGGACCGGCGUUGUAUUAGCUAGUAGGUGAGGUAACGGCUCACCUAGGCGACGAUACAUAGCCGAGCUGAGAGGGUGAGCGGGCAACCCGGGACUGAGACACCGGCCAGACUCCUACGGGAGGCAGCAGGAGGGAAUCAUCGGAAAUAGACGGAAGGCUGAACGCGCAAAGCCGGGGGAGUGAAGAAGGGUCUCGGAUCGUAAAGGUCUGUUGUAAGAGAAGAAAGGGUGUGAGAGUGGAAAGUUCACACUGUGACGGUAUCUUAACAGAAAGGGACGGCUAACUACGUG
rnacentral:rRNA from 1 species